GAUGAACGCUGGCGGCGUGCCUAAUACAUGCAAGUCGAGCGAGCGGACGAGAAGCUUGCUUCUCUGAUGUUAGCGGCGGACGGGUGAGUAACACGUGGAUAACCUACCUAUAAGACUGGGAUAACUUCGGGAAACCGGAGCUAAUACCGGAUAAUAUUUUGAACCGCAUGGUUCAAAAGUGAAAGACGGUCUUGCUGUCACUUAUAGAUGGAUCCGCGCUGCAUUAGCUAGUUGGUAAGGUAACGGCUUACCAAGGCAACGAUGCAUAGCCGACCUGAGAGGGUGAUCGGCCACACUGGAACUGAGACACGGUCCAGACUCCUACGGGAGGCAGCAGUAGGGAAUCUUCCGCAAUGGGCGAAAGCCUGACGGAGCAACGCCGCGUGAGUGAUGAAGGUCUUCGGAUCGUAAAACUCUGUUAUUAGGGAAGAACAUAUGUGUAAGUAACUGUGCACAUCUUGACGGUACCUAAUCAGAAAGCCACGGCUAACUACGUGCCAGCAGCCGCGGUAGUACGUAGGUGGCAAGCGUUAUCCGGAAUUAUUGGGCGUAAAGCGCGCGUAGGCGGUUUUUUAAGUCUGAUGUGAAAGCCCACGGCUCAACCGUGGAGGGUCAUUGGAAACUGGAAAACUUGAGUGCAGAAGAGGAAAGUGGAAUUCCAUGUGUAGCGGUGAAAUGCGCAGAGAUAUGGAGGAACACCAGUGGCGAAGGCGACUUUCUGGUCUGUAACUGACGCUGAUGUGCGAAAGCGUGGGGAUCAAACAGGAUUAGAUACCCUGGUAGUCCACGCCGUAAACGAUGAGUGCUAAGUGUUAGGGGGUUUCCGCCCCUUAGUGCUGCAGCUAACGCAUUAAGCACUCCGCCUGGGGAGUACGACCGCAAGGUUGAAACUCAAAGGAAUUGACGGGGACCCGCACAAGCGGUGGAGCAUGUGGUUUAAUUCGAAGCAACGCGAAGAACCUUACCAAAUCUUGACAUCCUUUGACAACUCUAGAGAUAGAGCCUUCCCCUUCGGGGGACAAAGUGACAGGUGGUGCAUGGUUGUCGUCAGCUCGUGUCGUGAGAUGUUGGGUUAAGUCCCGCAACGAGCGCAACCCUUAAGCUUAGUUGCCAUCAUUAAGUUGGGCACUCUAAGUUGACUGCCGGUGACAAACCGGAGGAAGGUGGGGAUGACGUCAAAUCAUCAUGCCCCUUAUGAUUUGGGCUACACACGUGCUACAAUGGACAAUACAAAGGGCAGCGAAACCGCGAGGUCAAGCAAAUCCCAUAAAGUUGUUCUCAGUUCGGAUUGUAGUCUGCAACUCGACUACAUGAAGCUGGAAUCGCUAGUAAUCGUAGAUCAGCAUGCUACGGUGAAUACGUUCCCGGGUCU
rnacentral:rRNA from 1 species